rnacentral:rRNA from 1 species
UACGUAGGGUGCGAGCGUUGUCCGGAAUUAUUGGGCGUAAAGAGCUUGUAGGCGGUUUGUCGCGUCUGCUGUGAAAAUCCGGGGCUCAACCCCGGACUUGCAGUGGGUACGGGCAGACUAGAGUGUGGUAGGGGAGACUGGAAUUCCUGGUGUAGCGGUGAAAUGCGCAGAUAUCAGGAGGAACACCGGUGGCGAAGGCGGGUCUCUGGGCCGAUACUGACGCUGAGACGCGAAAGCGUGGGGAGCAAACAGG